AACGAACGCUGGCGGCAGGCUUAACACAUGCAAGUCGAACGCUCCGCUUGCGGAGAGUGGCGCACGGGUGAGUAACGCGUGGGAACGUGCCCUUUAGCCUGGGAUAACCACUGGAAACGGUGGCUAAUACCGGAUACGCCCUCAGGGGGAAAGAUUUAUCACUAAAGGAUCGGCCCGCGUUGCAUUAGUUUGUUGGUGGGGUAAUGGCUUACCAAGACUACGAUGUAUAGCUGGUCUGAGAGGAUGAUCAGCCACACUGGUACUGAGACACGGACCAGACUCCUACGGGAGGCAGCAGUGGGGAAUAUUGGACAAUGGGCGAAAGCCUGAUCCAGCCAUGCCGCGUGAGUGAUGAAGGCCCUAGGGUUGUAAAGCUCUUUUAUCAGGGAAGAUAAUGACGGUACCUGAAGAAUAAGCACCGGCUAACUUCG
rnacentral:rRNA from 1 species